AGAGUUUGAUUCUGGCUCAGAACGAACGCUGGCGGCGUGGAUAAGACAUGCAAGUCGAGCGCAAAUUAUUCCGUAGCAAUACGGAGUAGUUUGAGCGGCGCAAGGGUGCGUAACACGUGGGUAAUUUGCCGUGAAGUUGGGGAUAACUCGCUGAAAGGCGAGCUAAUACCGAAUGUGGAAUGAGAGUGGCAUCACUUUUUUUCUAAAGCUGGGGAUCGUAAGACCUGGCGCUUCAUGAUAAGCCCGCGGCCUAUCAGCUAGUUGGUGCGGUAACGGCGCACCAAGGCUAAGACGGGUAGCUGGUCUGAGAGGACGACCAGCCACACUGGAACUGAGACACGGUCCAGACACCUACGGGUGGCAGCAGUCGAGAAUUUUUCUCAAUGGGGGAAACCCUGAAGGAGCGACGCCGCGUGGAGGAUGAAGGCCUUCGGGUUGUAAACUCCUGUCAUUUGGGAACAAACCUUCCAUUUAACUGAUGGAAGACUGAUAGUACCAGAAGAGGAAGAGACGGCUAACUCUGUGCCAGCAGCCGCGGUAAUACAGAGGUCUCAAGCGUUGUUCGGAUUCAUUGGGCGUAAAGGGUGCGUAGGCGGUCGCGCAAGUCGGAUGUGAAAUCUCAGGGCUCAACCCUGAAACUGCAUUCGAUACUGCGUGGCUAGAGUGCUGGAGGGGAGACUGGAAUUUACGGUGUAGCAGUGAAAUGCGUAGAUAUCGUAAGGAAGACCAGUGGCGAAGGCGAAUCUCUGGACAGUUACUGACACUGAGGCACGAAGGCCAGGGGAGCAAACGGGAUUAGAUACCCCGGUAGUCCUGGCAGUAAACGGUGCGCGUUUGGUGUGGGAGGAUUCGACCCCUUCCGUGCCGGAGCUAACGCGUUAAACGCGCCGCCUGGGGAGUACGGUCGCAAGAUUAAAACUCAAAGAAAUUGACGGGGGCCCGCACAAGCGGUGGAGUAUGUGGCUUAAUUCGAUGCAACGCGAAGAACCUUACCUAGGCUUGACAUGCAUCUCUAAGUCGGUGAAAGCCGGCGAGUACCGCAAGGUACAAUUUGCACAGGUGCUGCAUGGCUGUCGUCAGCUCGUGUCGUGAGAUGUUGGGUUAAGUCCCGCAACGAGCGCAACCCCUGUGAUCUGUUGCUAACCGGCUUGUCCGGAGCACUCUGGUCAGACUGCCCUGUGAAACGGGGAGGAAGGUGGGGAUGACGUCAAGUCAGCAUGGCCCUUACACCCUGGGCUGCACACGUACUACAAUGCUCAGUACAAUACGAGCCGAAACCGCGAGGUGGAGGAAAUCUCGAAAACUGAGCCCAAUUCGGAUCGCAGGCUGCAACUCGCCUGCGUGAAGCUGGAAUCGCUAGUAAUGCCGUAUCAGCUACGACGGCGUGAAUACGUUCCCGGGCCUUGUACACACCGCCCGUCACAUCAUGGGAGUCACUUGCACCCGAAGUACACAAUUUGUGUCCUACGGUAUGAGUGGUAACUGGGAUGAAGUCGUAACAAGGUAGCCGUAGGGGAACCUGCGGCUG
rnacentral:rRNA from 1 species